AACAAACGCUGGCGGCGUGCCUAACACAUGCAAGUCGUACGAGAAAGUUGGCUUCGGCCGAUGAGUAAAGUGGCGCACGGGUGAGUAACGCGUGGAUAAUCUCCCCUUUAGUCUGGAAUAACUUACCGAACGGUGAACUAAUACCGGAUAAUAUCCCUUUUCCCUAGGGAAAAGGGAUCAAAGUAGGCCUCUUCUUGCAAGCUUUUGCUGCAGGAUGAGUCCGCGUACCAUUAGCUAGUUGGUAGGGUAACGGCCUACCAAGGUUAUGAUGGUUAGCUGGUCUGAGAGGAUGAUCAGCCACACUGGAACUGAGACACGGUCCAGACUCCUACGGGAGGCAGCAGUGAGGAAUAUUGCGCAAUGGGGGCAACCCUGACGCAGCAACGCCGCGUGAGUGAGGAAGGUUUUCGGAUUGUAAAGCUCUGUCGAGCGGAAAGAAAUGCAUUAUGGCUAAUAUCCAUGAUGCUUGACGGUACCGCUAGAGGAAGCACCGGCUAACUCCGUGCCAGCCGCCGCGGUAACAC
rnacentral:rRNA from 1 species